rnacentral:rRNA from 1 species
GACGAACGCUGGCGGCGUGCUUAACACAUGCAAGUCGAACGGAAAGGCCCUGCUUUUGUGGGGUGCUCGAGUGGCGAACGGGUGAGUAACACGCGAGUAACCUGCCCUUGACUUUGGGAUAACUUCAGGAAACUGGGGCUAAUACCGGAUAGGAGCUCCUGCUGCAUGGUGGGGGUUGGAAAGUUUCGGCGGUUGGGGAUGGAUUCGCGGCUUAUCCGCUUGUUGGUGGGGUAGUGGCUUACCAAGGCUUUGACGGGUAGCCGGCCUGAGAGGGGGACCGGCCACAUUGGGACUGAGAGACGGACCAGACUGCUACGUGAGGCAGCAGUGGAGAAUAUGGCACAGUGGGCGGGAGCCUGAUGCAGCAACGCCGCGUGCGGGAUGACGGCCUUCGGGUUGUAAACCGCUUUCGCCUGUGACGAAGCGUGAGUGACGGUAAUGGGUAAAGAAGCAACGGCUAACUACGUG